rnacentral:rRNA from 1 species
GCGCACGGGUGCGUAACGCGUAUGCAACCUACCUUUUCAGGGGGAUAGCCCGGAGAAAUCCGGAUUAACACCGCAUAAAAUCACAGUACGGCAUUACAAUGAUCAAAUAUUUAUAGGAUGGAGAUGGGCAUGCGUGUCAUUAGUUAGUUGGCGGUAACGGCCCACCAAGACCGCGAUGACUAGGGGAUCUGAGAGGAUGACCCCCCACACGUACUGAGACACGGACCAGACUCCUACGGGAGGCAGCAGUAAGGAAUAUUGGUCAAUGGGCAACCCUGAACCAGCCAUGCCGCGUGCAGGAAGACGGCCCUCUGGGUUGUAAACUGUUUAUUCGGGAAUAAACCUAUCUACGUGUAGAUAGCUGAAUGUACCGAAGGAAUAAGGCGGCUAACUCCGUGCCAGCAGCCGCGGUAAUACGGGGGAUCCAAGCGUUAUCCGGAUUUUGGGUUUAAAGGGUGCGUAGGCGGCCUGUUAAGUCAGGGGUGAAAGACGGUAGCUCAUAUCGCAGUGCCCUUGAUACUGAUGGGCUUGAAUGGACUAGAGGUAGGCGGAAUGUGAAGUAGCGGUGAAAUGCAUAGAUAUGUCACAGAACACCGAUUGCGAAGGCAGCUUACUAGUCUUAUUGACGCUGAGGCACGAAAGCGUGGGGAUCAAACAGGAUUAGAUACCCUGGUUCCACGCCCUAAACGAUGAAUACUCGCUGUUGGCGAUACACAGUCAGCGGCUAAGCGA